GUUGAAAUUCCUGUACCGCAUAUUAUCAGAACUGUGGGGACACAGAACCGAAGAAGAACCCGGGAAUGAAAAGACCGGGGCAAGCACUGGACUGGCUGGAAUGGCAAAUCCACCCAGCAACAGGAAGGUGUGACGCGUACCGAACACAAGUAGGGAAGUCUUCGUAGGGGCUGUCAAGAAAAGCCGCUAUUGUGUAAUAUGUGCCCGUACCGUAAACCGACACAGGUGGAUGAGGAGAGAAUCCUAAGGCCGGCGGGAGAAGCAUUGUUAAGGAACUCGGCAAAAUGACCCCGUAACUUCGGGAUAAGGGGUGCCUGGGAAACCAGGCCGCAGAGAAUAGGCUCAAGCAACUGUUUAGCAAAAACACAGGUCUAUGCAAAACCGAAAGGUGAGGUAUAUGG
rnacentral:ncRNA from 3 species